rnacentral:misc_RNA from 1 species
GUAUUUUUUGUGCUAAGAUAAAGUGGCCACUUCUUCUGGUAAGCGGUAUUCAUUGAAGCCUCAGCAAAUGCACGAAUGGACUCAUCAGUGUUAUACAUGGACAAUGCGACACCUCCAGCCCCAGUGAACUUGAAAACCUCAAAUUCUGUCUUCUCACCACAUCCAUCUGGUACAAAUACCAGCUUAAGUUUGCCUGAUCCUUGUACAAUUGUAUCAGUUGCUCGGUAUUGGUCACCAAAUGCAUGCCUUCCAAUGCAGAUUGGCUUCGUCCAACCUGAGACAAGACGCAGAAUGUUUUUGCAGAUAAUUGGUUCUCGAAAAACAGUACCAUUUAAAAUGUUACGAAUAGUCCCAUUUGGACUCUUCCACAUUCUUUUCAAGUGAAACUCUUUGACACGAUCUUCAUCCGGAGUGAUAGUUGCACACUUAAUUGCCACAUUAUACUUAAGAGUGGCUUCAGCACUUUCUAUGGUGACUUUAUCAUCCGUGGCAUCCCGAUUAGGGAGUCCAAGGUCAAAAUACUUGAUAUCCAAAUCCAAAAAUGGGAAAAUAAGCUUAUCUUUAAUGGAUUUCCAAAUAAUUCUAGUCAUUUCAUCUCCAUCCAUCUCAACAAUGGGAUUGGUGACCUUAAUCUUCUCGAACGCCAUUUUUAUCUGCUACUCAGCUUCGGAUUUGG